AUAACUCGGGAAACUGAGAAUAUGCCCCAUAGUCCACCAUGCCUGGAACGGUUGGUGGAUGAAAGCUCCGGCGGCAUAGGAUGGGCCUGCGGCGUAUCAGGUCGUAGGGGGUGCAACGUACCCUCUAGCCAUCGACGCGUACGGGUGUUGGGGGACAUAGCCCGGAGAUGGAUUCUGAGACACGAAUCCAGACCCUACGGGGUGCAGCAGGCGCGAAAACUUGGCAAUGCGAGAAAUCGUGACCAGGGAACUCCAAGUGGCUGGGGUAAGACCCAGUCUUUUCUUGACUCUUCAAAGGUCUUGGAAUAAGGGGUGGGUAAGGACGGUGCCAGCCGCCGCGGUAAUACCGGCGCCUCAAGUGGUAGUCGAUUUUAUUGGGCCUAAAACGUCCGUCGCCUGUUUGGUACAUUCGUGGGUAAAUCAACCAGCUCAACUGGUUGAAUUCUGCGAGCACGGCCAGACUUGGGACCGGGAGAGGUGUGGGGUACGCUCAGGGUUAGGGUAAAAUCCUGUCAUCCUGAGC
rnacentral:rRNA from 1 species